rnacentral:misc_RNA from 1 species
UGGCCUUGGAUUGCUUCUUUGCUGUGUGGUUUGUCGUUGGCAAUGUUUGGAUCUUUGGGGGGCACUCUUCUUCUUCUGAGGCUCCCAAUCUGUACAGAUUAUGUAUAGCUUUUCUUACCAUUAGUUGCAUUGGAUAUGCUAUGCCUUUCAUCUUGUGUGCGAUGAUAUGCUGCUGCCUGCCUUGUAUCAUUUCAAUCCUCGGUGUGCGUGAGAAUAUGCAUGGAGUGAGAGGAGCCACAGAAGAGUCCAUCAACGCUCUUCCCACACUCAAGUACAGGGUCAAGACAGAUGGAACUGGAAGUAAUGAAAGUAAAAAUCUAGAAGAGGAGGAAGGUGGUUGUGUAGCUGCUGGCACAGAGAAGGAACGUGCCAUAUCAGGUGAAGAUGCGGUGUGUUGUAUUUGCUUAGCAAAAUAUGAGGACAAUGACGAACUGAGGGAAUUGCCUUGCUCGCAUUUCUUCCAUACACAGUGUGUAGAUAAAUGGCUGAAGAUUAAUGCGACUUGCCCCCUCUGCAAAUCUGAAAUUGACGCCAAGAACAGAGAUCUACCUUCUGUAGAAGAGGAACCCCUCCAACAAUCCUAAGGUGAUGCAGAAACCAACUUCUUAUGGUUGAAACACAGAUCAUCGCGGCUAGCUUGUUGCAUGGGGAACAAGGAGAGUAUAUCCCAACUGUUACUUCUUCUGCUGUUGCUGCUACUGCUACUGCUGUUUCUACCACACGAAUUUCAGUUUGUAUAGUUGUAGCUCAUACCAGGUAUCCAUAACAAGCUUGAAAGAAGAGGUAAUUCCAUUGUUGAUACCCUUACAUCUCUCUCCUGCCUCACCAGCUAUAUGUUGCUCGGAACUUCCAAAAAAAAUGUCAGUUGCACUCGUGUUGGAUCUUCAAAAAAUGCAUAGCUUUUGGAAGAUCUAAACCGGGCGAUAUUUUUGAAGUGUCCAUCAUCUAAUGCAAACAUAGCACACUGUAUAAAUAGAUUUAAGGGUAAAGCUGGGUGUACACCAUUCUCCUCAGGCGUCGCUAUUGGGAUUACACUAGAGAUGCUGUUAUCUCGAACUUUAGUCUCUACUUUGUUAUAAGCUUUUUUUUCUUCUUAUAACACUAAACAACUGUCAUUAUUAACAGUAGUUUCUUUGUGAAAUUAUCUCUUUAUAAUAAUAACCUUAUGCAA